GGACCAGAUCAGCAAUAGAAGCCUUUAUAAAGGCUCGCAUAGAGAAGGAGAGGCUCUUCACUGGGGAGAAAAACUCUGCUCUCUCAGCUUGGAAGACUAUUCUUCUGGAAUUGGGGCUUGCGGACAAAGUUACGCCCCAACAAGCCAGAAAAAAAUGGGACAAAGAGCUGAAGUGUCCGCCUUCAGGGAGUGGGACAGACAAUGGGGAAGCCACUGCAGCUACUUGGCCCUGGUUCAGCCUCAUGGAUGAGGCUCUUGGCAAUCGACCAUCAGUCACACCACCUUUGCUAAUAGCCUCAUCUAAUGAGGAGGAACCAGGGCCAUCUUCUGUUGUGGCAUCCCCGUUGUCCGAGCAGAGAGGAAGGAAGCGGCAGGAAACUCUUCUUGACCUCCUGCGAGAGGACAUGGAGAGAGAGAGGGAGAGAGAAGAGAGGCAAGAGAGAGCAGAGCAGGAGCGGUCAGACCACUUGUAUAACCUCUUAGAAAAGCUUGUUAACAAAAUUAACUAAUAUUUAUUCAUGCAUAUUCAAAAAUUAAAGUUGCUGUUUUAAGAA